rnacentral:rRNA from 1 species
UACGUAGGGUGCGAGCGUUGUCCGGAAUUAUUGGGCGUAAAGGGCUCGUAGGCGGUUUGUCGCGUCGGGAGUGAAAACGCCGUGCUUAACACGGCGCUUGCUUUCGAUACGGGCAGGCUAGAGGUAUGCAGGGGAGAACGGAAUUCCUGGUGUAGCGGUGAAAUGCGCAGAUAUCAGGAGGAACACCGGUGGCGAAGGCGGUUCUCUGGGCAUUACCUGACGCUGAGGAGCGAAAGUGUGGGGAGCGAACAGG